AUACCUUUCUCGGCCUUUUGGUNUAUCUGUUCCUAUCAGUUUAAUAUCUGAUAUGUGGACCAUGUGUCCACAACGAUAUUAAAUUUAUUUUUUGUGGGGGAGGGACCACCACAGUGGCUUGCCACUGGGUCUCUCGUGUGUCGCCCGGGCGUUGCACUGCUGCCCGGGCCCGGCGCGCCCCAA
rnacentral:snRNA from 16 species